ACUGGUAAUCUGACGUUGUUAAAGUGCUCCUGAGUUUGCAAGCACGACAUUGCUCACACACUCUUUUGUGGCCGGAUUCAUCAUCCGGCUUUUUUUUGCCUGUUAUU
rnacentral:sRNA from 1 species